rnacentral:rRNA from 1 species
AAAUUGAAGAGUUUGAUCAUGGCUCAGAUUGAACGCUGGCGGCAGGCCUAACACAUGCAAGUCGAACGGUAACAGGAAGCAGCUUGCUGCUUCGCUGACGAGUGGCGGACAGGUGAGUAAUGUCUGGGAAACUGCCUGAUGGAGGGGGAUAACUACUGGAAACGGUGGCUAAUACCGCAUAACGUCGCAAGACCAAAGAGGGGGACCUUCGGGCCUCUUGCCAUCAGAUGUGCCCAGAUGGGAUUAGCUUGUUGGUGAGGUAACGGCUCACCAAGGCGACGAUCCCUAGCUGGUCUGAGAGGAUGACCAGCCACACUGGAACUGAGACACGGUCCAGACUCCUACGGGAGGCAGCAGUGGGGAAUAUUGCACAAUGGGCGCAAGCCUGAUGCAGCCAUGCCGCGUGUAUGAAGAAGGCCUUCGGGUUGUAAAGUACUUUCAGC